AUUGAACGCUGGCGGCAGGCCUAACACAUGCAAGUCGAGCGAGCGGCGGACGGGUGAGUAAUGUAUGGGGACUGCCCGAUAGAGGGGGAUAACUACUGGAAACGGUGGCUAAUACCGCAUACUAUCGGAUAACCAAUAUGGGAUUAGCUAGUAGGUGGGGUAAAGGCUCACCUAGGCGACGAUCGUGAGCUGGUCUGAGCGGAGGAUCAGCCACACUGGGACGGAGACACGGCCCAGACUCCUACGGAGGCAGCGUUGGGGAAUAUGGCACAAUGGGCGCAAGCAUGGUGCAGCCAUGCCGCGUGUAUGACGAAGGCCUUAGGUUUGGAACGCACGUUAAGUUGGGAGGCGUUACCAACAGAAUAAGCACCGGCUAACUUCGUGCCAGCAGCCGCGGUAAUAC
rnacentral:rRNA from 1 species